AGUUGGUACUGAGAUGUAAUCGCUACAGUCGAAGAAGAGGGAGAUAUAUAGCACACAGUAGUUAACCACAUCAACAUGCAGCAGCAGCAGCAGCCACUCCUAACAAGUGGGAGAAGGUAAAUUAUAUGAUCCACACCAAGCUGUAAGCUCUUAUUCUUGUUUAGCUAAACCACACAAGGACUGGUAGCUUCUUGGCUGUCUGCCUGCUUCAGUUGAGACGCCGCGGUGAUGGCGGAGGCUCAGCCAGGCCAUCGAUCUGCUCGCCUCCAUGCAUCUCUAAUGUCCCUGGGUUUGGACCUGACGGAACCAUGCGCUUCUUCGGAAGGGAGCCUUGCAUCUCAUCUCGCUGGGCGACGGCAGUGCCAGUAGUGUCUGCUUCUUCGGCAAGGAGGAGUCUUGUUCCCGUUGCACUAAGUGCAGACAGGACAAGAAGAACCAUGGCCGCGACGCAAAGAGCUGUUCUUCGCUCCAUGCCCGUAGUGUGUUUGAUGUUUUGACGCACUCAUGCGGGUGAGCCCCCGGCUUUUUAUAGGCCGUGGGAUGGGGGUGGGGGGAGGGGAUGACAACAUGACCCAACACUAACAGUUUCCCAGAGCAUUAGGACUUGGGAAAACAUGUGGGAGGGGAAUGACAACAUGACAACCUUGUUUUCAUCUACUUUAAUUAGGUAAAGAUCCCUUUCCACGUACAUUACAAAGCUCUGCUUGUCCUUGUGAUCAGGUUGGGUUAGCACUGCAGGUGUCAGGAUCUCAGUGGAGAAACCAGUUGCUACGUAAAAGCUUCCUGAGACUAUUGGAGAAUUGGAAAACAAAGGCAAGGAUUUGCCAAGAUAACGAGAGCGAACAAUUUCCUUAUGGUUUUGAGAGCUCACAUCGAUGAAGAUUGAUGUGGAUCUUAUCAAAUGACAUCCAUCGUAGAGCCCAAAAGAACUUGACUCCCCAGUCGUAAACUCUGCAGAUGAGCCAUCACAGGAGUGCAGAUGAUUACACUCGAAGAACAACAUGAUCACGGAACUCAAGGUAAAAAUCCCAAAGCAUCACCAGCUGAUCAACAUGCUGAUGACCACAAAGCCAAACAGUUUAUUCCCAACAGAUCAAAGGUAAAUAAACAACUACUCUGCAAAACCUCAUCAUUGCAUUUUCCUUCUUUAUCAUCCAUUGUUCAUGAUGAACAAAAAGAAAAAAAAAGACAAAGGUGCUUGGUGAUCCUCAACUAGACAGCACUAAUCAUGCCCAACACUCAGGAAAUAUAACCCCCCACCAUCCAACUCAGAAACUUCUGCAGAUGGAAAGGAGAACACCACCUACUAAAGCUUGUUGUUCUAUUGCUAUCAACAAGCGAUGUGGAGCUCCCACUUGUUAGUAAAUCUAGUUUAAGUGUGGGUAAGCCAGUACACAUUCCAGUCACCCAGGAGCACCACAAGACAAUGGUCUUAGUCUUCCUUAUUUAAUAAUUUAAUUGCCCAUUAUGUCUUGUCUCCUUCUGUCCAAACUUCCUUUCUCUCCACGAGGAACACUU